rnacentral:misc_RNA from 1 species
UGGGAGUGCAAGCAAUGCGAGAAUUUUCAGCUUUGUGACAAGUGUUAUGAAAUUGAGCAAAAACUUGAAGAUAGAGAAAGACAUCCUAUUAAUCAAAAGGACAAGCACACACUUUAUCAAUGUAAAAUCAAGGAGGUACCUCAUGACACCAAGGAUGAAGAUGAAAUUCUCGAGAGUGAGUUUUUUGAUACAAGACAGGCAUUUUUGAGCCUUUGUCAGGGAAAUCAUUACCAAUAUGAUACCCUUAGGCGCGCUAAACAUUCCUCGAUGAUGGUCCUUUACCACCUUCAUAAUCCCACAGCACCAGCAUUCGUGACAACUUGCAACAUUUGUUACCUUGAUAUAGAAGCUGGUCAAGGUUGGCGAUGUGAAGUUUGCGCAGAUUAUGAUGUUUGCAACGCUUGUUACCAGAAAGAUGGUGGAAUUGAUCAUCCUCAUAAGUUGACUAAGCAUCCGUCCUUGGCUGACCGUGAUGCACAGAAUAAAGAAGCUAGGCAACUACGAGUUUCACAGCUAAAGAAGAUGCUUGAGCUCCUGGUGCAUGCUUCUCAGUGUCGCUUUCCUCAUUGUCCAUAUGUGAACUGUCG